rnacentral:tRNA from 1 species
GGAGAGGUGGCUGAGUGGUCUAAAGCAACGGUUUGCUAAACCGUGGUACUGCGCAAGCGGUACCGGGGGUUCGAAUCCCCCCCUCUCCGCCA